GGAGAAGAGGCGGUGGUUCAGGGAGAAGAAAGAGAGAGAGGGGACCGAUUUGAGAGAGAGAGAAAGUGAGAGGUGAUUUUCUAUUCUUUUGUUUUAGUUUGAUUUUUUCCAAUUUGGGCUUUAAGCUAUAAUUGGGCUUUAAUUUAGCUAAUGGGCCGUAUUUUUUUAUUCUAAAUGGGCUGCUGUUUAAUAAAACUUAUGGGCUCAAUUUAUGUAUUAUGCUUGGGCCUUAUUAAGUCAUUGUAGGUUUUCCUCAAAUUAUUUCUUGGACAUAAUUAUUAUUUUGGGCCUAUAAAUGAUUUAAUAAAUUUAUUAAUUCUCCCAAGUUUAAGGUUUGUAUUUUUUGAAAUUAUUAAUUAUUUAUAAGUCUUAAAUUUAAUAUUAUUAAUUAUAUCUAUUAAGUUAUUAAUUAUGUAUUAAAAGUUUGUGGAUUCACUUAAAGAUAUUAUUGAAUUCUUAUUCGGGCAAAGUGUAUCAAUAGUUAGCAAUCCCCAUAUUUGUUUAGAAGUUAGAAUAGCACCAAGAGACCUAUUAAGAAUAGAUUUCUUGUAGGCUUGAGGAUCAGGAGGAUUAGCACUGCGUUUCCGUGACGGGUUUACGAUUAAACUACAGGCUUUGCCUAUUCAGGUGGGCUUUAUUUUAUAUACAAUGUAUCUUGAGUUACAUAAGCUCUGAUAUUUCAUGAAAAUUAUCUGUUUAUCCAAUAUAAAUGUUUUUAUGUGCGUUCUGUAAUUGUUUAAGGCUCACUUAAGUAUCGAUCGAGAUUCUCAUUUGGCCUAACACGCUAAAUGAGGAUUGUGUACACAGGGUUAGUGGCUCGAUGAGUUGAUCACCAUCGUGCACUAACAGAUUUAGAACGUUAUAAGGGUGGGUGCUUGACAGGAGGUUAUCCGGAGCACGGUGCUUGACAUGAGGUUAUCCGGAGCACAGUUAAGGUUAUAGAUUCCGACCGGGUGCGUCCCGAGAUCAAUAAUAGAUUUUGGAUCUGACUGGGUGCGUCCCGAGAUCAGUGAAUGUAGGGAGAAAGUGAGUAACAAUCGAACGUACAUGGGCGCCCUCGACAAGAAAAUAUUUUUGUCAUGCUUAGAAGUGGGAUUUCGUUUUAAAACCUUCUAAGUCAUGAUUUUGAUAUUGGAUAAACUGCCUUAACAUUUCAUAAAAUAUUUCGAAAACUUGUGCCCACUGAGUACAUUAGUACUCAGCCCAAAUUAUUUUCAAAUGUUUUCAGGUUGAUCAGUUGGUGCAGAUGAGGCUGAGCUGAGGCUAAGGUUCCACGAUGUCUUUUGUUUCCGCUAAUAACUAUCUUGUCACCUCAUCCUCCAUCCCCUAAAUUGAGAAUUUCUAUUGUGUGGUAUAAUAUUAUCUUGUUGGGCUUAGACUCUUAACCCAUAUUUCUUUUAAUGAAGCCAUCACUGAUUAUGAUCAGAGUCACGAAACUAAACUUAUGCGAUCCUGAGUUCGAAUAUUGUCAUUUGAUUAGCAUCUCUUAAUGCCUUUUAUUUUAUCUCCUUUCAUCUUAUCUCUUUAGAUAUGCAUACCCGAUUUAAUGGGUAAAUUGGCAAGUUUAUUCAGCUCAAUUAAGUUCUUCAAUUAUUUUCCUAUUUCUUCUUGCCGUGGAAAAGUCGGGUCGUUACA
rnacentral:lncRNA from 1 species